rnacentral:rRNA from 1 species
AUUGAACGCUGGCGGCAGGCCUAACACAUGCAAGUCGAGCGGAUGAGUGGAGCUUGCUCCAUGAUUCAGCGGCGGACGGGUGAGUAAUGCCUAGGAAUCUGCCUGGUAGUGGGGGACAACGUUUCGAAAGGAACGCUAAUACCGCAUACGUCCUACGGGAGAAAGCAGGGGACCUUCGGGCCUUGCGUUAUCAGAUGAGCCUAGGUCGGAUUAGCUAGUUGGUGAGGUAAUGGCUCACCAAGGCGACGAUCCGUAACUGGUCUGAGAGGAUGAUCAGUCACACUGGAACUGAGACACGGUCCAGACUCCUACGGGAGGCAGCAGUGGGGAAUAUUGGACAAUGGGCGAAAGCCUGAUCCAGCCAUGCCGCGUGUGUGAAGAAGGUCUUCGGAUUGUAAAGCACUUUAAGUUGGGAGGAAGGGCAGUUACCUAAUACGUUGCUACUUGACGUUACCGACAGAAUAAGACACCGG